AGGUAUUGGUUUUGAAGUUUUCAAUUCCGUAGUGCAUUGCAGUGUGUUUAAUUAUUUACUGCAAGCGCUGCGGAUUUGGCAACUUUGACGACCUUCAUCA
rnacentral:pre_miRNA from 1 species